UAAACUAGGAUUAGAUACCCCAUUAUUUUGAAUGUAAAAUUAAAUACUAUAGUAGUAAUAGUUAUGUUCUUUAAAUUAAAAGAUUUUGGCGGUAUUUUAGUCUAUUCAGAGGAACCUGUUCUAUAAUUGAUAAUCCACGAUUAAUUUUACUUAAUUUAUUAAUUUAUAUAUCGUCGUUAUUAAAAAUUUUAAAAGAAUAAAAAUUUUUAAGAUUUUAGAUUAGAAAAUAUAUCAGAUCAAGGUGUAGUUUAUAAUUAAGAAGAAAUGGGUUACAAUAAAUUUAUUUAAAUGGAUUUGUAAAUAAAAUUUUAUAAUGAAGGUGGAUUUGAUAGUAAUAAAAUUAAAUUAAUUUUUAUGAUUAAAGCUCUAAAAUAUGUACAUAUCGCCCGUCGCUCUUAUUAUAAGGUAAGAUAAGUCGUAACAUAGUAGGUGUACUGGAAAGUGUACCUAGAAUGACAAAUUAGAGCUUAAUUAGUAAAGCAUUUUAUUUACAUUAAAAAGUUGUCGUGCAAAUCGAUUUAAUGAAGUCAAUUAAUUAUUUAAUUUUUUUUUAAUUUAUUUUUAAUAAAAUUAAUUUUAUGUAUAAAAUUUUUUAGUAUUUUUUAAAGAAAAAAAUUAAUUUAUAAUAGAGAAUUAGUAUAGUGAUAGAAUUUUGAAAUAGGUUUAUAAUUUUAAGAAAGUAAUAUUUAUUUUAUGUACCUUGUGUAUCAGGGUUUAUUAAUUAAAUAUUAUAUAAAUAAUUUUCCCGAAUUGAAGAGAUUUAAUAAAUUAUUAUUUUUAUUGUAAUAAAAAUAUAUUAAAUAUUUAUUAGUAAUGAAAUGUUAUUCGUUCUUUAAUAUAUCUGGUUUAUUUAGAAAUGAAUUUAAUUCAGUUUAUUUAAUUUAAAUUUAUUAAUUAAUUUAAUAUAUUUAAUUAAAUUUAUAAUAAUUAAAGGGUUUAGCUUUUAAUUAAAGAUUUAAAAAUAAUUUAUUUUGUUUUAAAAAAUUGUAAGUUUAGAAUUAUCUAUCAAUAAUAAUAUGUUAUAAUUAAUUUAUUUUAGUAAUAUUAUUUAAUAUUAUUUUAAGUUUUUUAUAAAUAAGUUUUUAUUAAUUAUUUUAUUAAUUUAUAAUGAUAAAAUUAGUAUAAUAUAAAUAUUUGAAUAUUUUUUUAUAAAAGAUUUUUUAAAGGAAUUCGGCAAAAAUUUUAUUCGCCUGUUUAACAAAAACAUGUCCUUAAGUGUUUAAUUUAAGGUCUAACCUGCCCACUGAAUAAUUGAAGGGCCGCAGUAUUUUGACUGUGCAAAGGUAGCAUAAUAAUUAGUUUUUUAAUUGAAAGCUUGUAUGAAGGGUUGGACGAAAUAAAAUCUGUCUCUAUUAAAUUUAUUAUUGAAUUUAAUUUUUAAGUUAAAAAGCUUAAAUUUUUAUAAAAGACGAGAAGACCCUAUAGAUCUUUAUAUUUAUUAAAUUUAUUUUUAUUAAGAUUUUUUAAGGUUUAAGUUUAAUAAUUAUUUUAUUGGGGUAAUAGUUAGAUUUA
rnacentral:rRNA from 1 species